rnacentral:rRNA from 1 species
ACUUAAAUUGAAGAGUUUGAUCAUGGCUCAGAUUGAACGCUGGCGGCAGGCCUAACACAUGCAAGUCGAGCGGUAGCACAGAGAGCUUGCUCUCGGGUGACGAGCGGCGGACGGGUGAGUAAUGUCUGGGAAACUGCCUGAUGGAGGGGGAUAACUACUGGAAACGGUAGCUAAUACCGCAUAAUGUCGCAAGACCAAAGUGGGGGACCUUCGGGCCUCAUGCCAUCAGAUGUGCCCAGAUGGGAUUAGCUAGUAGGUGGGGUAACGGCUCACCUAGGCGACGAUCCCUAGCUGGUCUGAGAGGAUGACCAGCCACACUGGAACUGAGACACGGUCCAGACUCCUACGGGAGGCAGCAGUGGGGAAUAUUGCACAAUGGGCGCAAGCCUGAUGCAGCCAUGCCGCGUGUGUGAAGAAGGCCUUCGGGUUGUAAAGCACUUUCAGCGGGGAGGAAGGCGUUAAGGUUAAUAACCUUGGCGAUUGACGUUACCCGCAGAAGAAGCACCGGCUAACUCCGUGCCAGCAGCCGCGGUAAUACGGAGGGUGCAAGCGUUAAUCGGAAUUACUGGGCGUAAAGCGCACGCAGGCGGUCUGUCAAGUCGGAUGUGAAAUCCCCGGGCUUAACCUGGGAACUGCAUUCGAAACUGGCAGGCUAGAGUCUUGUAGAGGGGGGUAGAAUUCCAGGUGUAGCGGUGAAAUGCGUAGAGAUCUGGAGGAAUACCGGUGGCGAAGGCGGCCCCCUGGACAAAGACUGACGCUCAGGUGCGAAAGCGUGGGGAGCAAACAGGAUUAGAUACCCUGGUAGUCCACGCCGUAAACGAUGUCGAUUUGGAGGUUGUGCCCUUGAGGCGUGGCUUCCGGAGCUAACGCGUUAAAUCGACCGCCUGGGGAGUACGGCCGCAAGGUUAAAACUCAAAUGAAUUGACGGGGGCCCGCACAAGCGGUGGAGCAUGUGGUUUAAUUCGAUGCAACGCGAAGAACCUUACCUGGUCUUGACAUCCACAGAACUUUCCAGAGAUGGAUUGGUGCCUUCGGGAACUGUGAGACAGGUGCUGCAUGGCUGUCGUCAGCUCGUGUUGUGAAAUGUUGGGUUAAGUCCCGCAACGAGCGCAACCCUUAUCCUUUGUUGCCAGCGGUCCGGCCGGGAACUCAAAGGAGACUGCCAGUGAUAAACUGGAGGAAGGUGGGGAUGACGUCAAGUCAUCAUGGCCCUUACGACCAGGGCUACACACGUGCUACAAUGGCAUAUACAAAGAGAAGCGACCUCGCGAGAGCAAGCGGACCUCAUAAAGUAUGUCGUAGUCCGGAUUGGAGUCUGCAACUCGACUCCAUGAAGUCGGAAUCGCUAGUAAUCGUAGAUCAGAAUGCUACGGUGAAUACGUUCCCGGGCCUUGUACACACCGCCCGUCACACCAUGGGAGUGGGUUGCAAAAGAAGUAGGUAGCUUAACCUUCGGGAGGGCGCUUACCACUUUGUGAUUCAUGACUGGGGUGAAGUCGUAACAAGGUAACCGUAGGGGAACCUGCGGUUGGAUCACCUCCUUACCUUAAAGAA